UAGGGAAUAUUACUUAAUGGGCGAAAGCCUGAAGCAGCAACGCCGCGUGUGUGAAGAAGGCCUUCGGGUUGUAAAACACUAUUUGAGGGGAUGAGGAAGGACAGUACCCUCAGAAUAAGCCUCGGCUAACUACGUGCCAGCAGCCGCGGUAAAACGUAGGAGGCGAGCGUUAUCCGGAUUUACUGGGCGUAAAGCGCGUGCAGGCGGCACGGCAAGUUGGAUGUGAAAGCUCCCGGCUUAACUGGGAGAGGUCGUUCAAAACUGCCGAGCUAGAGUGCGGGAGAGGGAGGUGGAAUUCCGGGUGUAGUGGUGAAGUGCGUAGAUAUCCGGAGGAACACCAGUGGCGAAAGCGGCCUCCUGGUCCGCAACUGA
rnacentral:rRNA from 1 species